rnacentral:rRNA from 1 species
CACGUAGGGGGCGAGCGUUGUCCGGAUUUAUUGGGCGUAAAGAGCUCGUAGGCGGCUCAUUAAGUCAGGUGUGAAAGCUCUGGGCUCAACUCAGAGACGCCAUCUGAUACUGAUGUGGCUAGAGUCCGGUAGGGGAGCGCGGAAUUCCUGGUGUAGCGGUGAAAUGCGCAGAUAUCAGGAGGAACACCAGCGGCGAAGGCGGCGCUCUGGGCCGGAACUGACGCUGAGGAGCGAAAGCGUGGGGAGCGAACAGG